AGAGCCAAGGCUAUCUGAAUCAAGGCUAA
rnacentral:piRNA from 1 species